GUGAGUCAUCGAAUCUUUGAACGCAUAUUGCACUCUUUGGUAUUCCGAAGAGUAUGCCUGUUUCAAUAUCAAAAACACCAUGAAACCUAGUUUCGGAGUUGGGCAUUGUGCGCGUGUUUGUGUGCGCGUUGCGCUUGCCUGAAAUGCAAUCGUGGCAAUAGUCCUGGAAAAGGCGUCAUAGUUGGCCGACGGUCAUCUUUCGCCAAACUCGAAUAGGGCUGGGACUGUCCGCGCGGCUUUGCAGCCGGAACAACCAAUUUUUCUAAGAUCUUGAUCUGAAAUCAGGCAGGAUUACCCGCUGAACUUAAGCAUAUCAAUAAGCGGAGG
rnacentral:rRNA from 1 species